CGAUCCUUGCAAAUUGCGAGAGUAUAAAAUAUUUGAUUAUACCCAAACUUAGCCCUCCCUUACUUAUUAAUAAUGGAGUUACAAACAACCUCAGAAUGGCCAAUGGAAUGGGUGCCAGAAUCUAUUGCUCCGGGCUGGAUCUCAGGCAACCAUUCAAGCUUCCGGAAUACUGCAAAAUCUUCCAGGCGGAAGUCCUUGCAGUCAGGAAAGUGGCGGAAAUAGAUAACAACACAGGUAACAACAUAAAAAGGAUAAAUAUAUAUGUCGAUGGCCAGGUUGCAAUCAAGUCAAUAAUCUCGCAAAGCGGCUGCAUAUAUACUGGGUUCCAGGCCACAAAGGGAUUCCGGGAAACGAAAUAGCUGAUGAGAUUGUCAAAAGUGCCAUCCGUCUGGCUACCGAGAAAAAGUGCAGCAAAUACGGUCAAACGUCACUAAAACGAUAUACAAUAAAAUUUAAAAAAAGGGCUGACAGGCGGAUCAGGACAAGAUGGAAAGCCUUAAGUACGAGCAGGAUCGCAAAGAUCAUGUGCAAGAGCCCUGAAGAAAAACUCGCAUGAUUUUUACAACUUAUUGGCAUCACAUUCGAACCGGCUGGGUAUAAGUAACGACGAUUCAUGUAGAAAAUGCAGAGAAGCAGUUCGCAAAAAGCGUUGACGUCCUGAAUACUUCACCUCAAAUUGAACAGAACCUUCAUCUGGCAUUACUAAGAACCAUUUGGAAUCUAAUUUAGAAACAGCCAAAUUGGACGUAAAAAUUUGUUUAAAAUGUGUUCGUUACAUCAUACAAUCUAGUAUUGAUUAUACAGAAGCUAAAAUUUAAUUCAUGAUUCCUUUCGAUUUAAAAUGUUUCUCUCCAGACAAAAUGAAAAAUGCAUCAAGCAACUUGAACAGAAGCAACCUGCGAGAGCAGCCACCUUUAUCACGUGUAUACGACAACUUCCGCUAAGUGAACGGCUACGCAUGCUUUUUUAUAUGCACACAAAGCUUUUGUUAGAAAGUGUAGAAGAUCCGUACCCCCAUUCGCAAAAUGCACCCCGCAUACAUAGAUCCCACAUAUUGUGGCAGCGGGAUGGGAGCCAGACAGAUUAACCUUGACUUUCACUUUCGCAACCAACCGGAGCAAAGUCGGCGACGUCAGGAUAUGACGUCGCAACGAGUGGGCCUGCUGAUGCCGCGGACGCAGCAAACAACUAUCAUUUGAUGUUACAGCUACGGUAGUGCUGUUGUUGUUCGGAUACCGUCAUCACUGCAUUUGUUGUUGUUAUAUCAAAGGAUAACACUGCUACUGAUUCCAAAACAUACUUAUUGUACAUUAUGUUAUUUAAUAUGUAGGCUUGUUUGCUCCUAAGACAGACAUUCAUAUAUUUGCACCAUUAUUGUGUGGAUGUGUGUGUGUGGGUAUUAGAUUUGGCAUCAACGGGCGGGUAGCAACACCAAUUUUAUUGUAAGGGUGGACGAACCAUUUGCCAGCCAACUUUGCUACGCCAACUUUUUGAUAUGCCACACGUUGCUCGUCCUUGACGUACAACUGCCACUGAUCCGACUAGACGUGUUACUGUUUGGUGCACUACAGCUGCCACCUUAAGGGGUGGUUGGAAAUUUUUGAAUAAUUCAUAACAGCGAGCAGGACAUUCAAAACACGCGAUGUAACCUGAAUGCCAAAUAAGCUAUUGGAGAGAAGCAACAGUCGGUAGUAACUAACUGGAAUUCCAACUCACACAGUGAAUAUUCUCGCCUGGAAGGAGGUCGUGUUUUGCAUGCGCGUGACGUUUCAUACCCCAUCAACCGACCAUGCAUCAAGUUGAUCUGACGUUGUACGUUGCACAGAUUUAGUCCAUUUCAGAUUGAAUCUAGUUCUUUCCAUUCUAAGUACUAUUCUAUGACUUAUUGCAAAAAUAUUAAAACCUAAUUCGUAGUGAUGUUGAGUUUUCGCAUGUGUUGAACUGAUUAAAAAAAUUAUAUCUAUAUAUUGAAGUUACUGCUAGUUUUUGAAUAAAAUCGUACCCAAAAUUA